AGUUGUAUCCUGGCUCAGAACGAACGCUGGCGGCAGGCCUAACACAUGCAAGUCGAGCGCACCUUCGGGUGAGCGGCGGACGGGUUAGUAACGCGUGGGAACGUACCCUUUUCUACGGAAUAGCCUUUGGAAACGAAGAGUAAUACCGUAUACGCCCUUUGGGGGAAAGAUUUAUCGGAGAAGGAUCGGCCCGCGUUAGAUUAGAUAGUUGGUGGGGUAACGGCCUACCAAGUCUACGAUCUAUAGCUGGUUUUAGAGGAUGAUCAGCAACACUGGGACUGAGACACGGCCCAGACUCCUACGGGAGGCAGCAGUGGGGAAUCUUAGACAAUGGGCGCAAGCCUGAUCUAGCCAUGCCGCGUGAGUGAUGAAGGCCUUAGGGUCGUAAAGCUCUUUCGCCUGUGAUGAUAAUGACAGUAGCAGGUAAAGAAACCCCGGCUAACUCCGUGCCAGCAGCCGCGGUAAUACGGAGGGGGUUAGCGUUGUUCGGAAUUACUGGGCGUAAAGCGCACGUAGGCGGAUUGGAAAGUUGGGGGUGAAAUCCCGGGGCUCAACCCCGGAACUGCCUCCAAAACUAUCAGUCUAGAGUUCGAGAGAGGUGAGUGGAAUUCCAAGUGUAGAGGUGAAAUUCGUAGAUAUUUGGAGGAACACCAGUGGCGAAGGCGGCUCACUGGCUCGAUACUGACGCUGAGGUGCGAAAGUGUGGGGAGCAAACAGGAUUAGAUACCCUGGUAGUCCACACCGUAAACGAUGAAUGCCAGUCGUCGGGCAGUAUACUGUUCGGUGACACACCUAACGGAUUAAGCAUUCCGCCUGGGGGAGUACGGUCGCAAGAUUAAAAACUCAAAGGAAUUGACGGGGGCCCG
rnacentral:rRNA from 1 species